CUGGGACGUCUAAAGGAACUGCCUACGCAAGUAGUGAGGAAGGCGGGGAGUGACGUCAAAUACAGCACGGCCCGUUACCGUCCAGGGCGUACACACGUGCUACAAUGGCCGAUACAGAGGGCAGCUACCUGGUGACAGGAUGCAAAUCUCCAAAGUCGGUCUCAGUUCGGAUCGGAGUCUGCAACCCGACUCCGUGAAGUUGGAUUCGCUAGUAAUCGCGCAUCAGCCAUGGCGCGGUGAAUACGUUCCCGGGCCUU
rnacentral:rRNA from 1 species